UGUACCUACUGUACCUACUGUACUGUACCUACUGUAUUGUACACUGUACCUACUGUACACUGUACCUACUGUACCUACUGUACUGUACACCCAUCUCAAUGUCACCCUUUAGCACACACAACCACAAAAACAAUAACAGACUAUGUCAGCCUCAUCCAGCCCCCUUUCAUUUCAGAGGUCCACGUACGAGAAGCCCAAUCCUGACGUAAAUUCCUUAAUUCGGCCAGAAUUUGACUGAUUUGAUUUGCAGACCAUGCUCUAAGAGUAGCAAUAACUACAUGUCUGUCUGGCCCCACUUCUAACGCAGACAUUUGUUGUCACACUUGGCAGAGGUCUGUCCAGUAGGAUAUUUGAUAAGAUAUGUCCCGUCAAGUGCCAUGUUAGAUUAUUCAGACUUCUCCAGAUAAAAAGUCCAGCCUAUAUUCACGGUGUUGUAAAACAACCUCACAGUGAGGGACCACCAGUUCGUCUGAAACGUAAACCCUCCAACUAGCUUUUCUCUCCUGUUACAACAAAACCAUCUCCAUACGAGCAAAAGACGUAGAAAAUGUCAAUGUUCAAAGUCUUGUGCUCACUUGGCCUCUUCAAAUAAACAUAGUACAGCAGGCCUUUCGAAACUCCUGGUGCUUCUCAGGAGCCACCUCAUCUUCAGGUUUCAUGGUGCUCCGUGUUCAUUACCACUGACCGAGGUUUCAUGGUGCUCCGUGUUCAUUACCACUGACCGAGGUUUCAUGGUGCUCCGUGUUCAUUACCACUGACCGAGGUUUCAUGGUGCUCCGUGUUCAUUACCACUGACCGAGGCAUGUGCCAUAGAUCUCUAUGGCAACACCAAGGAAUGUAACCGUUGGGUAACUAGGCAUUGUGUGCAGUCUCUUCAGUAUUACAGUACCGUGUGUAUGUGCAGUCAGUCAGUCAUCAUGAUCUCCAUGGUAAUUCAUCAGACAUCAUAGCCUCAUAGACUUUCACCGGCGUUGUCAGGUGACCACCGAGACUUGAGGGAGGGGGAGGGGGGCGGCGUGUGCAUGUCUCAACUUCUGAGUUCACACAUGAGAAGUAAAGACUGGCACAUACAGUAGCAUAGGAAUCCAGAGACAGAGGUGCAGAUCUACUAGUGAAACCUGCACCUGUUACUUUUUCCCCCUCGCGGGAGUCAAAUAGCCUGGGUGCCAGUCUGUUUCGGCUCGCUUGCCAAACUCCUUAUGGUAUUGUCAUGUUUUGUCAAUUCAAAUAUAGUCUGCAAAAGGGUACAAAUGUAAAAGGGUUGCAGGAAGAAACAAAACCUCUAAACUGGACUUUAAUGGUUUAGCUUUCCUUUAAACAUUAUUAUUCCCCUCUAACAAAGGAUCCAGGUGUUAAUGAUGAUGGGUAAACCUGACCUUCCUGACCCUGCCCAUCAGCGCCCUCUCUGUGGGGUUGGGAUGAUGAUAACCUCUGCUGACAACAGUACCCUGAACACGUGCGUGACGUUAGCAGCCCAUGAUUGUUGUAUAGACAGGCCAAGCCUACCCCGUAUAAAGCACAAUAGACCAACUAUGGUUGUCUCUCUGAUGUUCAGCUGUAAAAUGUCAUUUCUCUGUGUCGUGUUUUGACUGUGUUGAUUUAAAUGGAUUGCAUGUGCUGUAUGGGACUCUCAUAUGUCCGUAAUCAAAGCGAAAGUGAUUGGUUGUCCGGCUUUCUGUUGUAAUAAGGGUUCUUUGAUUAUCUUGCUUGCUCUCUGCCAAUGAUUUUGAUACAGUUUGCUUUUGUGAAACCAACCAGAGAUAUUUUUAGAACCGUUUUUUAUACAAUCCUUUCGAGUAGAUGCCUUGUGUAUAUUUUCCAUUUACACCACAAUGGAAUGUAGCUCAUACUGUGGUCAAACCAUUGGUUUAUAUCGCAAGAUUUGACAGAAACAAAUGUGACAACUACCCAAGUUACCUUACAACAAAAAACCAUUGAUUGUUUUGUCUUCAGUAUGACUUUGAUGCCUCUAGGCUUUGCUUCGAUAUGCUUUGCUUUGUGUGUCCUUGAGGUUUAUUCUCGUUUUCUUUUCUCGUUUUACCCCAGACCCAGUUUUUACACCUCACACAUUCCUCAUCUGUGGUUUCAAUUGAAUUCAAUCCCAUAUAAAGGAAAACCACACUAUGGGUUCACUCUAAAUGUUUAUGCCAAUGACGAACAGCUUCCGGGUCAGGAUUUGAAUGUGGUUGACACCUCCGAUACUUAACAUUGACCGACUGCAUGGUUUCCCCUUGGCGCGUAAUUGAUUGCAUUGUGGCCUGUGAACUCCAGGCCAGACUGACCUCACAUCGACAUGAGAAAUAUCAACUACGCGUAGGACAGCUAAAACAAUGGGGUUGGAAGAAACCUCUAACGACUCUCAUCUUGAUUGAAUGCAACUGGUCCAUUACAGCGAACACCCAGCAGGAGACAAUGUCACUGGUUUGUUUUAAAUGGGCAUUUCAUCCUCUGAUUGAAACGGCCGUGACAUGUCGAGUUUUACAGAUGGAAACUAUGAAAUCCUUUCCUGAUAACGCUCGUUGCAAUUGAUCCAACCGCUUUAUUUUGAGUGCUUGUUGUCUGUGCUGCCAGGUCUCAUUCUGGUGAUCAUAGUGAGGGAGAAGAUAAUUGAAAUAGCCAACCCAGUGAACAAAAUUGGUUGAAAAUACUUUGAAUAUGUCUUUUUGGUUGAAAAUAUGUCUUCUCAAACAGUUUUGCUCACUGGGGAAACUAUCAGACAUACUCCAACCAACCAGCAAACAGCCUACUCUCCUCUGCUACUACAGUAUUUGCUUUUAAAUUGUGAGUUUUUGCAUCCAAAUAAAAGUAGAUUUUCAUGAA